rnacentral:rRNA from 1 species
GACGUAGGAUGCAAGCGUUAUCCGGAAUUAUUGGGCGUAAAGAGUUCGUAGGCGGCAAAGCAAGUCUGAUGUUAAAUACUGGGGCUCAACCCCAGCACGGCGUUGGAUACUGCUUAGCUAGAGUGUGGUAGAGGCAAGGGGAAUUCCUGGUGUAGCGGUGAAAUGCGUAGAUAUCAGGAGGAACACCGGUGGCGAAAGCGCUCUGCUGGGCCAUCACUGACGCUCAUGGACGAAAGCCAGGGGAGCGAAAGGG